rnacentral:siRNA from 1 species
GUGAGCUGCAUGAAGGUGACUGGG